GCAAUGCGUGGCAUACGGCUCAGUAACACGUAGUCAACAUGCCCAGGGGACGUGGAUAACCUCGGGAAACUGAGGAUAAACCGCGAUAGGCCAAGGUUUCUGGAAUGGACACUGGCUGAAACCUAUAUGGCCCCUGGAUUGGACUGCGGCCGAUCAGGCUGUUGGUGAGGUAAUGGCCCACCAAACCUGUAACCGGUACGGGCUUUGAGAGAAGGAGCCCGGAGAUGGGCACUGAGACAAGGGCCCAGGCCCUACGGGGCGCAGCAGGCGCGAAAAUUCUGCAAUAGGCGAAAGCUUGACAGAGUUACUCUGAGUGAUGCCCGCUAAGGGCAUCUUUUGGCACCUCUAAAAAUGGUGCAGAAUAAGGGGUGGGCAAGUCUGGUGUCAGCCGCCGCGGUAAUACCAGCACCCCGAGUGGUCGGGACGAUUAUUGGGCCUAAAGCAUCCGUAGCUUGUUCUGCAAGUCUUCCGUUAAAUCCACCUGCUCAACAGAUGGGCUGCGGGAGAUACUACAGGGCUAGGAGGCGGGAGAGGCAAGCGGUACUCAGUGGGUAGGGGUAAAAUCCUCUGAUCCACUGAAGACCACCAGUGGCGAAGGCGGCUUGCCAGAACGCGCUCGACGGUGAGGGAUGAAAGCUGGGGGAGCAAACCGGAUUAGAUACCCGGGUAGUCCCAGCUGUAAAC
rnacentral:rRNA from 1 species